rnacentral:rRNA from 1 species
AUUGAACGCUGGCGGCAUGCCUUACACAUGCAAGUCGAACGGCAGCACGGGGCAACCUGGUGGCGAGUGGCGAACGGGUGAGUAAUGCAUCGGAACGUACCUUUCAGUGGGGGAUAACGUAGCGAAAGUUACGCUAAUACCGCAUAUUCUGUGAGCAGGAAAGCAGGGGAUCGCAAGACCUUGCGCUGAUUGAGCGGCCGAUGUCAGAUUACCUAGUUGGUGGGGUAAAGGCUCACCAAGGCGACGAUCUGUAGCGGGUCUGAGAGGAUGAUCCGCCACACUCGAACUGAGGCACGGGCCAGACUCCUACGGGAGGCAGCAGUGGGGAAUUUUGGACAAUGGGGGCAACCCUGAUCCAGCCAUGCCGCGUGAGUGAAGAAGGCCUUCGGGUUGUAAAGCUCUUUCGGCCGGGAAGAAAUCGCACGGGCUAAUACCCUGUGUGGAUGACGGUACCGGAAUAAGAAGCACCGGCUAACUACGUGCCAGCCGCCGCAGUAAUAC